rnacentral:lncRNA from 1 species
UCUGCUUCUGGCUCCCGCACCACCUCGUCUUUUCCCAGCCACUUCUCAUUUAGUCUGCUACACACUUUCCCAGGGCGAAUCCCGGCUUCACCCACGCCCCCACCCACCGCUCCUACACCCGCUCGUGCCACCGCCUGCCCCAGCCGGCCGUGCUUCCUGGCAUCCUCACCCCUACCAUCGAUCCGAUCUGACCCAACACCUUCGGCCCCUCCCCUUCAAGUCCUGGUCUCAGUCUCCUCCUUGCACCCCCGCCCCCACCCCGUGCGCCCUUCCCAUCAGAACUCCCUCUUGGACCAACACCAACUGCGUGCUCUCUGGGGUCCCCGCCCCUCUUUCAAUGCCCUCAAUUUCUCGGCCACGCCUUCAUUCACUCCCCGGGUGGGUGCCGGGCCAGGCCCCCGUCCGAGGCCCCGACCCCUCUCCUCGGGGCGUCCAGGCGCGCAUGCUCCCGUGCCCACUUUCCAACCACGACUCUCAAGGACGGCCCGUCCCGCCGCCCACCCUGCUCGUGCGUCCGUGUGCACCCCCUUCCAGCAGCCCUGCGGCCCCGCCCCGCUCCGGGGUCCGAGGGAGGGGGUGGGGCGUGGGGCACGCGUGGGGUGGGCCCGCGGGGCUGGGGGAGGGGAGGGGAGGGGCGCGAGGGGCGCGAGGGGGAGGCGAGGACGUGCCUGGGGGAGGGAUCAGGCAAAAGGGACGAGAAGGGGACGGGUAGUGUCCGCGCAGCCAGCCCUCGGUUACCACAGCCUCGCGGGGCGUCAGACUCAGUCCAGAGGGGACCAAGAGAAGGGACAAACAGGCAGAGGAACGGCUGCGCUCGCGCUGGUUUUCCCGCCCCUUCUCACGGGGACCAAUGAACUUCAGCCGCCUCUCGCUGCUGUGGCGGGCGUCCAAUGCGCUUUGAGAUCCACACCGCGGCACGCCCCUUUUCUCCAGUACGAGUCUCCACGCGCCCAGCUAUCAGGCCAACCAAUAGCGCGUCGAGUUGAGCCUCGUGCCCCUUGCCCCUCCUCCCCAAGGGCUCGCUUUUCCAGAUAG